GACGAACGCUGGCGGCGUGCCUAACACAUGCAAGUCGAACGGAGCUUCUAUGGAAUUUGACUUCGGUCAAAUGAAGUUUAAGCUUAGUGGCGGACGGGUGAGUAACGCGUGAGCAACCUGCCUUACAGAGGGGGACAACAGUUGGAAACGACUGCUAAUACCGCAUAACGUAUUUUGAAGGCAUCUUCGAAAUACCAAAGGAGCAAUCCGCUGUAAGAUGGGCUCGCGUCCGAUUAGGUAGUUGGUGAGGUAACGGCGUCACCAAGCCGACGAUCGGUAGCCGGACUGAGAGGUUGAACGGCCACAUUGGGACUGAGACACGGCCCAGACUCCUAC
rnacentral:rRNA from 1 species